rnacentral:rRNA from 1 species
UACGUAGGGUGCAAGCGUUAAUCGGAAUUACUGGGCGUAAAGGGUGCGUAGGCGGUUCGUUAAGUCUGUCGUGAAAUCCCCGGGCUCAACCUGGGAAUGGCGAUGGAUACUGGCGAGCUAGAGUGUGUCAGAGGACGGUGGAAUUCCCGGUGUAGCGGUGAAAUGCGUAGAGAUCGGGAGGAACAUCAGUGGCGAAGGCGGCCAUCUGGGACAACACUGACGCUGAAGCACGAAAGCGUGGGGAGCAAACAGG